GACGAACGCUGGCGGCGUGCUUAACACAUGCAAGUCGAACGGAGAGCGAUGGAAGCUUGCUUCUAUCAAUCUUAGUGGCGAACGGGUGAGUAACGCGUAAUCAACCUGCCCUUCAGAGGGGGACAACAGUUGGAAACGACUGCUAAUACCGCAUACGAUCUAAUCUCGGCAUCGAGGAUGGAUGAAAGGUGGCCUCUAUGUAUAAGCUAUCACUGAAGGAGGGGAUUGCGUCUGAUUAGCUAGUUGGAGGGGUAACGGCCCACCAAGGCGAUGAUCAGUAGCCGGUCUGAGAGGAUGAACGGCCACAUUGGGACUGAGACACGGCCCAGACUCCUACGGGAGGCAGCAGUGGGGAAUCUUCCGCAAUGGACGAAAGUCUGACGGAGCAACGCCGCGUGAGUGAUGACGGCCUUCGGGUUGUAAAGCUCUGUUAAUCGGGACGAAAGGCCUUCUUGCGAAUAGUGAGAAGGAUUGACGGUACCGGAAUAGAAAGCCACGGCUAACUACGUGCCAGCAGCCGCGGUAAAUACGUAGGUGGCAAGCGUUGUCCGGAAUUAUUGGGCGUAAAGCGCGC
rnacentral:rRNA from 1 species